UGGCACACAAGGGCUCCCUCUGAGGUGGACGGCCCGAUGCAUAGGGAGUCCCUGGCCCUGUGACGUUUGGGAACAAGUGGAACUCAUGCAGAGGCAUCCAGGUAUUUCCAGAGACUGAAGAGAGAGGUCUGCAAUCCCUUCCUAACAGCAGCAAGAAGCUUAAUCCUGUGUUUGGAGUCAGCACCCGCCUAACUGUCGUUGGGUACCAACGUCCGCCACCUAGAGGAAGAGCUCUGCAGCUCACCCAACGCCAACCCGUUUUCCCGCGGUGACCUCGGGAAUCAAACUUAAUAUUCCUUUGCAAAUCGCUCUCCAAACUAACUCCCCCCUCCCACACCCCCUCACAUCCCCUUCCGCCCUACAACAUCGUCACAAUAUUUUCUUAGUAAUUGCUCUGUGCAAUUGACAGAAGCGCCAAGUCUCCGGCAGCGCGGCGCUCUCCCAGCAAAGCGCCAGAGCGCGUUGGGAAACAGGUCAGGGAAUAUUUGGGUCUGAAGCCAUAAACCAUUUUUAUCCAAAAUUCGUCUAGAGCAGCCUGAAUUCGGGUCUCAUAAAGCAGCGUCUGCUGCCGACACCACCACACUCCAGUGCUUUUUUAGGGCUCUCUUAGAGAAAACAGCCCAGAUUCCUCUGUCGGCCAGUUGCUUACUGCGGGGCUUUUUCCGACUUCUCGUGCGUCCAUGCUCCCCUCCACUCCCAGACACGAAGAUCUGAGAUCCCGGCUCUCUCCAGUUAGUUCUUGGAGCCCAAAGGGUCUUCGCUUUUUCCAAAUGGGUUGCUUGAUGUACUGAGAUAAAGGCAUUAAAGGGGAGACUAGAUUUGGAUAGGUGACCCCUGUGGCCUGGGAGACCAACCCAGGAGAAACCCCUGGUCUUUACAUUGAGUCGCGGAGUUUCGAAAAACUUUCACAGCGUGCGGGGAAAUUUGAGGCUGGGCCCGCAGG